GAGUGUGGAUUAUGCCCUGGCCAUGUCCUCAUGUUUCCCAACGGCUGGGAGUCAGAAAUUGAGUGACCUGGGAGCACCUUUGUUGUGCCAUCUAUAGCAAAAAGACACUUGGGUGCAAGUGGGAAUCUUGAGUCACUUUGAGGAGCAUUGCACAAAGCCCUAUGUCUUCAGCCAAGUGCACCCUUUCCUUUU